rnacentral:lncRNA from 1 species
AUCCAAUGACAGGGAUCUGUAGCAGGGCCUUCCCAUUAACCAGUCUGUGUUCUCUUUUCUGAAACCCUCCUAGAUGGGUCCCUGUGACCUCUUCUUCAACAGCAGUGGCCGGAAGAACAACAGCUGCUGUUCAUAAACCUUGCUUUACACCUCCUGUCAACCAUUGGAAUUUGUCGCUGCUUUGUUUUGAGUCUGGAACCCCAGCCCAUAAAACGUACUGCGCCAAUGGAUAGUCCUACCUGGGACGACAUCAUGCUCUCGGAUGCGCUAGUAUCUGAUUUCCUCUCUGUAUCGGCUGCUUUCGUAUUACUUCAACCAAAGGAUCUGACAGGAACACCCUAAGGAGGAAAGUUUAUUUCGACUCCUGGUUUCAGAGUGGGGCAGACUUGUCAGAGCCCACGGCCGGAGCAUGUGAUGGGAGACCCUUCACGUCACAGUGGGCCAGGGCUAGAGGCUGGGCUAUCUUCUGGGGUCUGACUUAAAUGACCUCCUUCCGCUAGCAAAGCGCCACUUCCCAUUCCACAGCCUCCCAGAAUAGAACCACCACAUGGGGAAUGAGCUCUCAAAGCCUGAGCCUGUGGGGGCACUUCAGAGUCAAGCCGCAAUAUUCUACCACUGGACCUAAAGGCUCGUGGGCAUCUCGUGACCAGAGCUGCAUCGUGUCUAAUU